AGAGUUUGAUCAUGGCUCAGGACGAACGCUGGCGGCGUGGAUUAGGCAUGCAAGUCGAACGGUAUCAUCCUUUCGGGGAUGAGAGAGUGGCGAACGGGUGAGUAACACGUAGGUGGUCUACCCUCAAGACGGGGACAACCCAGGGAAACUUGGGCUAAUACCGGAUGUGAGCAACCUUAGGGUUGUUUGAAAGGUGGCUUCGGCUGCCGCUUGGGGAUGAGCCUGCGUCCUAUUAGCUAGUUGGUGAGGUAACGGCUCACCAAGGCAGUGAUAGGUAGGCGGCCUUAACGGGUGGUCGCCCACACUGGGAUUGAGAUACGGCCCAGACUCCUACGGGAGGCAGCAGUCGAGAAUAGUCUACAAUGGUCGAAAGACUGAUAGUGCGACGCCGCGUGAACGAAGAAGCCCUUCGGGGUGUAAAGUUCUUUUAUAUGUGAGCAGUGGGUUCCAUAUGAAUAGUAUGGGAUCAGAGAUAUUAGCAUAUGAAUAAGCAACGGCUAACUCCGUGCCAGCAGCCGCGGUAACACGGGGGUUGCGAGCGUUGUCCGGAAUUACUAGGCGUAAAGGGCAGGCAGGCGGAUCUAUAAGUUUUUCGUUUAAGGCGUCAACUUAACUGGCGUACGGCGGGAGAUACUGUAGAUCUGGAAUGCGGUUGGGGAAGACAGAAUUCCUGGUGUAGCGGUGGAAUGCGCAGAGAUCAGGAGGAAUACCGAAAGGCGAAGGCAGUCUUCCAAGCCGUCAUUGACGCUCAACUGCGAAGGU
rnacentral:rRNA from 1 species